rnacentral:rRNA from 1 species
UAAGUCAGUAGUGAAAUGACGAGGCUCAACCUCGUGUCCAUUACUGAAACUGCUAAGCUAGAGAAUGAGAGAGGUCACUGGAAUUCCCUGUGUAGGAGUGAAAUCCGUAGAUAUAGGGAGGAACACCGAUGGCGUAGGCAGGUGACUGGCUCAUUUCUGACACUCAGGCACGAAAGCGUGGGAGCAAACGGGAUUAGAUACCCCGGUAGUCCACGCCGUAAACUAUGGAUACUA